GGCAGGCUUAUGCAAUAUAUGAUCAUAUAAUGUAACUAAACCCCCAUUAUUUUUUGCCUAGGUGAGGUGUUUUUAAAUAAAACUAUUACAAUCUCUAAGAUUUGAAAUCAUUGUUUAGUGAAUAAGCGAGCAUGCUGGAUUGUGUAUUUUAUAUGUAUAUAUAAAUUUAAACAUACUGUGCCGUGAAUAGAUAAGGAUAAUAAUAUUACUUGGCUGGAAAUAAAAUUAUAUCCUGUUAUGUUCUGUUUUUGUUCUUAACCUUAUUGCGCAUAUCAUGUAUUCGUUAUACACUGCUUUAUCCGCAACAACUUUUUAAGGUGUGUUCUGAUCCAUUAAUAUUUUUCACAUUUUAGUA